UGUAGGACACUUGAUAUGAUACGUUGGGAGGAUUCCCAGGAGCUGGUGUCCAUGUGAGUAACAGCCUGAAAUUCCGGGAUAUAGUAGUAACAUUCAAAGUAGCAGCGGAACAUGCACAUUAGUGGCACUGAAGACUCUGAGAAGGUCAGAAACCGACAAAAUGCACCAGGCGAAGGCCACCAAUGUCAUCCCCAAGCACCCCCCGAGUGGACAAAUGAUAGAGGAAACAACACCUAGAAUCAGCUCCUCUAUUUGGGACCUUUUUUAACAGCACCGGUGGACUAAAGGGGGACACGAUAUGCCUACUGAAACAUUACAAUUAUAAGUGUUAUUUUAAACAAAGUUUAAUCUGUAUUCAAGGUUUUAUACUAUAUUUGCAUUAUGCAUGUUCCUUAGCAGCAGGAAGGAAUAUCUGGCAAUCUUAUACUGUUUGUGAUAUAUGCAAGCUAAUAGUUAAACUUUUGUAAGCACCCACCUGAGGUCUCUACAUGGUGAAUUUAAAUAAACAACACAUUCCAUGGUGUCUAGAAGGGCAUAUCCCAGCAGCGUUGGAAUCAAAUAAAUAGGAUAAGAUAUGUAUACGGGAAGAAUAAAGUUACUUAUUUCACCACGCA